rnacentral:rRNA from 1 species
UACGAAGGGUGCAAACGUUGCUCGGAAUUAUUGGGCGUAAAGCGUGCGUAGGUGGUGAGUUAAGUCUGUCGUGAAAGCCCCGGGCUCAACCUGGGAAUGGCGAUGGAUACUGGCUCGCUAGAGUGCGGUAGAGGAGAGUGGAAUUCCCGGUGUAGCAGUGAAAUGCGUAGAGAUCGGGAGGAACAUCAGUUGCGAAGGCGGCUCUCUGGACCAGCACUGACACUGAGGCACGAAAGCGUGGGGAGCAAACAGG